rnacentral:misc_RNA from 1 species
GGAAGUUGCUGAUGAAAACUAGUUCAAAGUCUAUUAUUGUUAUUGAAGAUAUUGAUUGUUCUAUCAAUUUAACUAAUCGAAAAAACAACAGUAGUAGUAGUAAUAGUAGUAGUAAUUACAAUGUUUCACCUCCUGGGAGCGGUGGUGGUGGUGGUAGUAGUGAAGAUGGUGGUGGGAAUACUAUAACUCUAUCUGGUUUGUUGAAUUUUACUGAUGGCUUAUGGUCUUGUUGUGGUAGUGAGAGGAUAUUUGUUUUCACAACGAAUCACAUUGAGAAGCUUGAUCCAGCUUUGUUGAGGUCUGGAAGAAUGGAUAUGCAUAUUCACAUGAGCUAUUCGUCUUUCGCUGCACUCAAGAUUCUCUUGAAGAAUUUCUUGGGAUACAAUGAGGACGAUGUAGAGAAGGAGUUGUUAGAGCAAUUGGAGCAAGUAACGGAG